rnacentral:rRNA from 1 species
GACGAACGCUGGCGGCGUGCUUAACACAUGCAAGUCGAACGGAAAGGCCCUGCUUUUGUGGGGUGCUCGAGUGGCGAACGGGUGAGUAACACGUGAGUAACCUGCCCUUGACUUUGGGAUAACUUCAGGAAACUGGGGCUAAUACCGGAUAGGAGCUCCUGCUGCAUGGUGGGGGUUGGAAAGUUUCGGCGGUUGGGGAUGGACUCGCGGCUUAUCAGCUUGUUGGUGGGGUAGUGGCUUACCAAGGCUUUGGCGGGUAGCCGGCCUGAGAGGGUGACCGGCCACAUUGGGACUGAGAUACGGCCCAGACUCCUACGGGAGGCAGCAGUGGGGAAUAUUGCACAAUGGGCGGAAGCCUGAUGCAGCAACGCCGCGUGCGGGAUGACGGCCUUCGGGUUGUAAACCGCUUUCGCCUGUGACGAAGCGUGAGUGACGGUAAUGGGGAAAGAAGCACCGGCUAACUACGU